CAAGUACCGUGAGGGAAAGUUGAAAAGAACUUUGAAGAGAGAGUUCAUAAGAAUGUGAAGCCGCUAGGAGCUUAAACGGGUGGAACUGCGAAGGACGAACGAGGGUAUUCACCUCGUCGGGGGGACGGGACCGGGGUGCUCCUACUGGCCGGCGCCAAGAGCAAACCCAAGCGAGCGCGGGAGCGCCCCUAGCAGUCCGACAGACAGGUCCCUCCCGGCGGGCGUACUUGUCCCCUCCAGUAGUGUGACGCAGCGAGCCGUUUCUCUGGCAGAAAGGAAAAGGAGGCAGGAGGGCCGAUCCACGUCGCGUCCGGACUGGUACCCUCGGUCAGGAGGGGAAACCGGCGCGCGCUGCUCAAAGACUGGCUCCGGAGACGGCAAACUCCCAGGGAGCCCCUGAGAGGGGGCUCCUCGCUGUGAAGUAGCGGUGAUCCACCUGACCCGUCUUGAAACACGGACCAUGGAGUCUAACUUGUGCGCGAGUCUAAGGGUUGAGGGCAAGACCCAGAGGCGCAAUGAAAGUGAGCGAGCCUGCCUGCGCGCAGGCUCCGAGCUGGCCGAUCCCCGGAAGGCCCUGCCGGGGCGCAGGCUGAGGACUCGCCGCUCGGGGGUCGUCUGCUCUGGCCUCCCCGGCCCC
rnacentral:rRNA from 1 species